AAGUGAAGGCGAGUUUAGUUUUUGUGGUCUUAGCCUGCUUCUCUAAUGUGGGCGCACUACAUUAGAAAAAAGUGGGAGGGCCCUUUUGACUCUCUGACCAGCACCAUGGUGGUUGGCAAGAACAAGCGCCUUACGAAAGGUGGCAAAAAGGGAGCCAAGAAGAAAGUGGCUGAUCCAUUUUCUAAGAAAGAUUGGUGUGAUGUGAAAGCACCUGCUAUGUCCAAUAUAAGAAAUAUUGGAAAGACACUCGUCACCAGGACCCAAGGAACCAAAAUUGCAUCUGAUGGUCUCAAGCGUCAUGUGUUUUAAGUGAGUCUUGCUGAUUUGCAGAAUGAUGAAGUUGCAUUUAGAAAAUUCAAGCUGAUUACUGAAGAUGUUCAGGACAAAAACUGCCUAACUAACUUCCAUGGCGUGGAUCUUACCUGUGACAAAAUGUAUUCCAUGGUCAAAAAGUGGCAGACAAUGAUUGAAGCUCAUGUUGAUGUCAAGACUACCGAUGGUUACUUGCUUCAUCUGUUCUGUGUUGGUUUUACUAAAAAACGCAACAAUCAGAUACGGAAGACCUCUUAUGCUCAGCACCAACAGGUCCACCAAAUCCGGAAGAAGAUGAUGGAAAUCAUGACCCGAGAGGUGCAGACAAAUGACUUGAAAGAAGUGGUCAAUAAAUUGAUUCCAGACAGCACUGGAAAAGACAUAGAAAAGGCUUGCCAAUCUAUUUAUCCUCUCCAUGGUGUCUUCGUUAGAAAAGUAAAACCGCUGAAGAAGCCCAGGUUUGAAUUGGGAAAGCUCAUGGAGCUUCAUGGUGAAGGCAGGAGUUCUGGAAAAGCCACCGGGGAUGAGACAGGUGCUAAAGUGGAACGAGCUGAUGCAUAUGAACCACCAGUCCAAGAAUCUGUUUAAAGUUCAGACUUCAAAUAGUGUCAAAUAAAAAGUGCUAUUUGUGGAAAAAAAAAAAAAAAGAAAAAAGUGGGAGGGGUAGUCCAGAUAUGACAGAAGGAUAAAGGGUGAAGGAAUCAAGAAUACAAAUGAGAAUGUCUUUAAAAUUGCCAAACACAGAUUCCAGGAUGUACAGGAAGACAAAGGAGACAGGUUAAUUAGGGAGUGGGAUAGGGCUCAGGGACCAAAGCCUCCUAAGGGAUGCGCAAAGGUAGUUUCCACGAAGGGACUCUUGAUUUGGUUGAUUGGAAGAACCAAACAACAAUUAGCCCUAGGCUUCCUCCAAGGAAAUUCCCUAAAGAAAAGUCUUACUAUUCAGAGUGUUAUUAAGUCCCAGGGUCUUCGUUGCCACUAAUAGAUCUUUUGGAGGGCCUGAUAUCAGAUAUUUCCCUAUUAGGAGGAGAUGGCUGUUCAGGGAAGGCCAGAUGUUAACAGAAGAAACAGAAGGAUAUUAAACAUUCCAUUAAGCUG